UGGGGAAUUUUGGACAAUGGACGCAAGUCUGAUCCAGCCAUUCCGCGUGCAGGACGAAGGCCUUCGGGUUGUAAACUGCUUUUGUACGGAGCGAAAAAGCUCUUAUUAAUACUAGGAGUCCAUGACGGUACCGUAAGAAUAAGCACCGGCUAACUACGUGCCAGCAGCCGCGGUAAUACGUAGGGUGCAAGCGUUAAUCGGAAUUACUGGGCGUAAAGCGUGCGCAGGCGGUUAUAUAAGACAGAUGUGAAAUCCCCGAGCUUAACUUGGGAACUGCAUUUGUGACUGUAUAGCUAGAGUACGGCAGAGGGGGAUGGAAUUCCGCGUGUAGCAGUGAAAUGCGUAGAUAUGCGGAGGGACACCGAUGGCGAAGGCAAUCCCCUGGGCCUGUACUGACGCUCAUGCACGAAAGCGUGGGGAGCAAACAGGAUUAGAUACCCUGGUAGUCCACGCCCUAAACGAUGUCAACUGGUUGUUGGGUCUUCACUGACUCAGUAACGAAGCUAACGCGUGAAGUUGACCGCCUGGGGAGUACGGCCGCAAGGUUG
rnacentral:rRNA from 1 species